rnacentral:rRNA from 1 species
CCUACGGGAGGCAGCAGUCGAGAAUCUUUCUCAAUGGGGGAAACCCUGAUGCUGCGACGCCGCGUGGAGGAAUGAAGGUCUCCGGAUUGUAAACCCCUGUCAUGUGGGAGCAAAUUAAAAUGUUAGUCGCAUAAGAGGCAGCGACGGCUAACCCUGUGCCAGCAGCCGUGGUAAUGCAGAGGUCUCAAGCGUUAUUCGGAAUCACUGGGCGGAAAGGGUGCGUAGGCUGGUUAGUAAGUCAGGUGUGAAAGGCUAGGGCUCAACCCGCGAACUGCACAUGAUACUGCGAGACUAGAGUAAUGGAGAGGGAGGCGGAAUUCUCGGUGUAGCAGUGAAAUGCGUAGAGAUCGAGAGGAACACUCAUGGCGAAGGCGAGUUCCUGGACAAUAACUGACGCUGAGGCGCGAAAGCCAGGGGAGCGAAAGGGAUUAGAUACCCUUGUAGUC